GGGGCCGUACCGGCAUCGACCGGACAGGCAACGCACGGCGUGGCGCGUCGUGGAGCAUGCAGGCCACGUUAAACAGCAUGCACACUCACAACUGCCAACACGCAGUACGCUCUCGCCGCCUAAUUAGGCAGCGCAGCGAGUCCCCCCACGCCUGACUAAGGGGGCCGCUGUCAAACAUCAGGCUGGGUCCGACGGGCUGACAUGCCCCGGAGGACCGAGAACUCGCAUGUCUUGGAACGGAGCGCCCCGCUGCGGGGAUACGCCCGGACGACAAUCGUUCCGCAGACACACUCGUAGAGGCGCCGUGCGGACUGUUUCGGCACAGGGGUUCGACUCCCCUCGGCUCCAUUU
rnacentral:tmRNA from 1 species